GACGAACGCUGGCGGCGUGCUUAACACAUGCAAGUCGAACGGAAAGGCCCUGCUUUUGUGGGGUGCUCGAGUGGCGAACGGGUGAGUAUCACGUGAGUAACCUGCCCUUGACUUUGGGAUAACUCCAGGAAACUGGGGCGAAUACCGGAUAUGAGCUCCUGCUGCACGGUGGUGGUGGGAAAGUUUCGGAGGUUGGGGAUGGACUGGCGGCUUAUCAGCUUGUUGGUGGGGUAGUGGCUUACCAAGGCUUUGACGGGUAGCCGGACUGAGAGGGUGACCGGCCACAUUGGGACUGAGAUACGGCCCAGACUCCUACGGGAGGCAGCAGUGGGAAAUAUUGCACAAUGGGCGGAAGCCUGAUACAGCGACGCCGCGUGCGGAAUGACGGCCUUCGGGUUGUAACCCGCUUUCGCCUGUAACGAAGCGUGAGUGACGGUAAUGGGUAAAGAAGCACCGGCUAACUACGUG
rnacentral:rRNA from 1 species